GGGCAAUUGGUCUAGGGGUAUGACGUCUGCUUCGCAUCUGUCUGUGACUGCUGAAGGUCCUGGGUUCAAUUCCCAGAUUGUCCA